rnacentral:rRNA from 1 species
GACGGGGGGGGCAAGCGUUGUUCGGAAUUACUGGGCGUAAAGGGCUCGUAGGCGGCCAACUAAGUCAUACGUGAAAUCCCUCGGCUUAACCGGGGAACUGCGUCUGAUACUGGAUGGCUUGAGUUCGGGAGAGGGAUGCGGAAUUCCAGGUGUAGCGGUGAAAUGCGUAGAUAUCUGGAGGAACACCGGUGGCGAAGGCGGCAUCCUGGACCGAUACUGACGCUGAUGAGCGAAAGCCAGGGGAGCAAACGGG